UACGAAGGGAGCUAGCGUUGUUCGGAAUCACUGGGCGUAAAGCGCACGUAGGCGGAUGUGUCAGUCAGGGGUGAAAUCCCGGAGCUCAACUUCGGAACUGCCUUUGAUACAGCACGUCUUGAGUCCGAUAGAGGUGGGUGGAAUUCCUAGUGUAGAGGUGAAAUUCGUAGAUAUUAGGAAGAACACCGGUGGCGAAGGCGGCCCACUGGAUCGGUACCGACGCUGAGGUGCGAAAGCGUGGGGAGCAAACAGG
rnacentral:rRNA from 1 species